rnacentral:rRNA from 1 species
UACGAAGGGUGCAAGCGUUAAUCGGAAUUACUGGGCGUAAAGGGUGCGUAGGCGGUUCGUUAAGUCUGUCGUGAAAUCCCCGGGCUCAACCUGGGAAUGGCGAUGGAUACUGGGCAGCUAGAGUGUGUCAGAGGAUGGUGGAAUUCCCGGUGUAGCGGUGAAGUGCGUAGAGAUCGGGAGGAACAUCAGUGGCGAAGGCGGCCAUCUGGGACAACACUGACGCUGAAGCACGAAAGCGUGGGGAGCAAACAGG